GUCUGUACAAGGAGUACCUUCGCAAUACAGAUAGUAUGCCAAGACGUGUCAGAUUAGAGUUGAUUGAGACUCUCAUAAAUGAAAAAUUGACUUCACCGGUACCGCUACGCAAAUCUAGGCAAACUGGCCAAGGGCAACGAAACGAUGCAUACAGUUCUCGUGAAGAUGAUUUGCCACAUUGAUUCAGGUUCUGAAGGUUUGCAGGAAGCAGACCCAUUUGACGAUGUCCACUUUGAUGAACCACUUAGUGAUUGAACUGAGGCUGAUCUAUCCCACACUGAAGUUUCUGAAAGAACGACUUUUAAUAAUGAAAUAGAUGAUUUAUGUGAGGAUUUGGAAGACUCCAGUAGUUGUUUUGAGUUCAUUUCUAGCAGUGAGGCUGGAAGAGACGAUGUGCCUGACUGUGACAAUACUGAGACGUCAAAUUGUAUGAAAAAUGAUGCUUCUGAUGAACACUUUCCUGUUUGUCCUGUACCGCUGGAUGAAAGUACAGCUUUGCUUACUAAGCUCGUCACAAACUGUCAAUGAAGGCUGCUGGAAAUUUGAUAGAGCUAAUGUGUGCACAUUUUCCUGAAGGCCAUUCUGCUAUGACAUCACUUUAUCGUCUCAAAUCCUACUGGAAACCAUCAACACCAGUACACAAAAUAUUAUGUCUGCUCAAACUGCGAAACUCUUUUGGACCAAUCUGCUGUAUCAUGACCCAACUCUGUUUGUGUUAAUGCUAAGGCAUUAUCAUUUGAACUUCUAGUUUGAAUAUAGUAUCUGCUCUUGGCAAACAUCUUAAAGAUCCUACAUUUUGUGCCCUAUUAUUGAAAUCUCUGGAAACUAGAAGUGAAGUAUCUGACAUUAGUAGUGGUUCUAUGUACCAGAUAAUUCUCAGGUCAGGGUACUGCCACUCACCGUGGAAUGCGACAAUGACUAUGAAUACCGACGGCGUAUGGGUAUUGAAGACAUCUCAGACUGGUUCACUGUGGCCAGUGUAUCUCACCAUCAAUGAACUUCCUCCAAAAUAUCGAUAAAUUUAGACUUGUACAAACAAUAAAUAAUUAAUUUUUAUAUGGAUGCAUUAGAUACUCACUCAAUUAUACACUUGUUUGUGGUCUUUGGUUCCAGCCCAGAAGCCGCCAGUUCAAGGCUUUUUGGGACCAGUUUUGGAACAGCUCAACUGUUUAACAACUGAGAAGGUUAAUCUGUUAAUAAUCAUGAUCAUUGAUGAGACAUGAACUUUGCAUGAAACUGCAGCUUAAUUACUUAGUUUUUAAUUAUUAAGAAUGAACAUCAACAUGCAAAUGUGGCAUGAUUUCUAUGUGCAUGUAUUAGGCAUUGUAAUUCAAA